GCCGGUUACCGUACGAUCACCGAAGUAAACCAGCGUCGAGCCUGGUUAGUAUCUAGAUGGCUGACCGCUUGGGAAUACCAGGUACUGUAAG